CCCUAGGAAACUAAGAUGAUCUAAAACAUAUUUUCAAGAUUUAUACUUCACAGGUUGCUUAUUAUGGUUUUAUGUGUAAACUUCUUCGUUUCAUGUGCAGUUAUCUCUAUGAUGGUAUGUUCAAAGGCCAAAGCUAGGAAAUCAGUAGUACCACCUAUGAAAGUGCAGGUCAAGAUGGGUGCAAUAGUUCACGAGGGAAGUAGUUCACACCAGAAGCAACGGAAACCUAGUUGUUUCGCUGUUUAUGUGAAGGAUUUUACUCGAGGUGUAAAGAAAAUAUUUCAAGAAGACAAUAUAAUAAAACAAACAGAGGUGAUGGCAGCCAUGUCGGAAUGGUGGCAUGAGGGAUACUUGCGAAAGAACUACGACAAAACCUAUUCUGGAUCAAGCAGUGAGGAAGAUAAUGAUGAGGUCGAUGUGAAUGAUGAGGAAUUGAGUGAACAAGAGGGCGACAAUUGUCCGCCCCGUCCAAAGAAGAAGAAGAAGAAGAGUAUAGGGGAGAGUAAAAAGAAGAAGAAAGUGUCGGUAUGUCAAUAACUAACGAUGCUUUGUACCGUGCUUAGGAGUUGAAAUGCUUAAUCAUGGGAUUUCACCUUUAUGUGCAUUUAUGUCCAUAUAUAGCUUAAUAUAAAGACAAGGUGUUCCCCUAGGAAAUUUGUUUCCUUGAUUGGUGAAUUGACUCAAGACCAACGUGAUGCAAUCAAAGCAUGUAAUCCAUUCCAUUCAUUACUUCAUGUGAAGUGUGGCCAUCUGCAUAGAGUCUUUGCUAUGCAUUUGGUCCAAUGUUUCAAUCCAGAAACUUGUAGCAUCGAAUUUAGGAGGGGCCUAAUUGUUCAUAUUACUGAAGAAGAUGUUGCAAGAGUUUUAGGGAUGCCAAUAGGGGACACACCCGUGCCUACGGAAUGCCUUGAAUUACACAAAACAAAAAUUGAAGAGGACUUUAAGGGAGGUUUUAAAGGGAUUGAAAUCGUGAAAUUGGAAAAUGUGAUUAAGGAAGGCGAUACUGAUGGGAAGUUUCAUAGGGCUUACAUGCUAUUUACAUUGGGAUGCUUGUUGUGCCCCACCACAAAGGAAGUUGCGAGGAAUAGAUUGUUCCCUGGGGUGAUUGCCGACGACCUUGAAACCUUAAAGACGUAUAAGUGGCCGGCCUUUGUGUUGGAUUGGUUGGUGAACAAGA